GGCGCCCUUGGCCCAGUCUCACCAGAGCCUCACUGCAGACCUGGCUGGACAGCGAGUGCCCGCUGCUUGGUGCUCACCUACGUCCGCGCAUCCUAAGAAGCGCUGGCCCCUGGUGAGGGUUGGCCCCGAUGUCCGGCUUUCUCAAGCUGAAUUUUCUUUCCUCUUCUUGUUAUUAAGCUUAAGAUGAGAGACCCGGAUGACCCAGGAAAAUCACAUAAGAGCCUCCUCACUUCCUCCCAGAAAAGGAGGAAGGGAACAGAAGAGAGAGGUGGGUUCUCUAGGUGAGUGCAUCAGCUGGCUCCAGCCUGAACAGACAAGAAUUCUCUUCGCAGGAAGCUCCUCUCGUUCCCCUGCCGCCCACCCCCAGCCCCGCAAAACCUCAUCUAACUCCUUCAGGAUGAGAAAAGAAUCCAGCUCAGAGCAGGUGAGUUUUUGUCAAUGCAUUUUCCUUCACCCGAUCUCACAAGGAGGUGUCAGUUCUCAUCUGUCCACAAAUGCCUCAUUUGCUUUGUGGUUUAUCCACUUCAGGGAUUAUAUGGGCCACACUUGUAACUACCCAUUCACUUGUGGGCCACUUCUUUUAACUCUCAUCUGCGAUUGUGCAAAAUGGAGUUCCUGUAACGGAGCCUCAAAUGAUCGGUCCAGCUGGGAAGAGCGUGGCGGGCAGAUGCAGUGA
rnacentral:lncRNA from 1 species